GCGUGGAGGAAACUGCCAUAGAGUUCCUCGCUCUCAUAUUUUGUAGGGGGAUAUGUGCUCAUACUAAUGACCUUAAUUGUAACGGUUGCCUCAGUCACCCAGACCGGAGCAUUUUCUGUGUUUAUAUGAGAGCUACAAUACGACAGAUUGAGUGCAACCAGACGCUAUAUUGAACCACGAAAGGAGAAAUUCUUCUGAAAAGAUUUGGUAGCCACAAGCGUUCUCUAGACCUAAACACUGUUAAAAGUCUUGAAAAAAGUAAACAAACUCUCCAGUAAGCCUUCACCCACCAAGACAACAGUUUUGGAGUUAACAUAGAGGAGAUAUCAAAAGAGUGGUGAGAGUGUGGUGCCUUAAGAGGACCCGUUGUGAUUCUUUGACACCACAGGACCGGGACACACAAGGAUUCCGAUAUCGUCAUGGCCAUGACACGCAUAGCUGGAAUACCCCGGCAGCCCACCGACCCAGGAGCCGCAUAGCACAGAACAAACACAUCAACACGUCCCGCACAUCAUCAACACAUCCAGGUGCCAAAGUGGUUCAGGCGAGUGGAACAUUCAGUACCAUCAUAGUUACCGAUCUGAUCCACUAUCCCCUGUAUAUGAGAAUAAUUUAUUUUCCUAAAUGCUCACUUUCCAUUCCCCACACCCAUUAACUCCUAGUGCAUGGCAUUUUACAGGCCUCUGUAAAGUGAGAAAUGCCUUUGUAGUCUUGGUACAAGAUACCAGAUCAGGUACCUCCCCAGAGGAGUAGUAGCCGACUUCAAAGACGUAACCUCUUUAGAGACACUCGGUUUCAUGAAGCUAAAUGUUCUGAAUUUCUCAGGCAUUGGAUUUCACGGAUAACUUUGUCAUUCUAUUAUGAUGGACAAGACACAUAGUGUAUCUGAAAUGUCCUUACUAAAGUGCAGAGGUGUUUGUUUGAGAUCAAAUACAGUCAAGUUCACGAACACAGAACCCACAGGCCACCUUGAUUCUUCCAGAUGACAAUAAGUGGCCUUUAAGAUAAAACACCAGGGACAUCACCUGUGCCUUGUUACAUGGGUCGUUACAUCUGUUACAUGGGUCUUUCUACGAAAAUUUUG